AACGAACGCUGGCGGCAUGCCUAACACAUGCAAGUCGAACGAGACCUUCGGGUCUAGUGGCGCACGGGUGCGUAACGCAUGGGAACCUGCCCUUAGGUUCGGAAUAACUCCCCGAAAGGGGUGCUAAUACCGGAUAAUGUCUUCGGACCAAAGAUUUAUCGCCUUUGGAUGGGCCCGCGUUGGAUUAGCUAGUUGGUAGGGUAAAAGCCUACCAAGGCGACGAUCCAUAGCUGGUUUGAGAGGAUGAUCAGCCACACUGGGACUGAGACACGGCCCAGACUCCUACGGGAGGCAGCAGUGGGGAAUAUUGGACAAUGGGCGAAAGCCUGAUCCAGCAAUGCCGCGUGAGUGAUGAAGGCCUUAGGGUUGUAAAGCUCUUUUACCCGGGAUGAUAAUGACAGUACCGGGAGAAUAAGCUCCGGCUAACUCCGUG
rnacentral:rRNA from 1 species